rnacentral:rRNA from 1 species
AGAGUUUGAUCCUGGCUCAGAACGAACGUUGGCGGCGUGGAUUAGGCAUGCAAGUCGCACGAAUCCCCGGGGCUUCGGCCCCGGGGGGAAGUGGCGUAAGGGGCAGUAAGGCGUGGGUAACGUACCCCCCGGUCCGGGAUAGCCUCGGGAAACCGAGGGUAAUACCGGGCGACGUACGCGGGACACCUGUCCCGCCUACCAAAGGUCCGCCGCCGGGGGAGCGGCUCACGUGGUAUUAGCUGGUUGGCGGGGUAACGGCCCACCAAGGCGCAGAUGCCUAGCUGGUGUGAGAGCAUGACCAGCGCCACUGGCACUGAGACACUGGCCAGACACCUACGGGUGGCUGCAGUCGAGAAUCUUCGGCAAUGGGCGCAAGCCUGACCGAGCGACGCCGCGUGCGGGAGGAAGGCCUUCGGGUUGUAAACCGCUGUCAGGGGGGACCAAACACUGAGGGAUCCCCAGAGGAAGCACGGGCUAAGUUCGUGCCAGCAGCCGCGGUAAGACGAACCGUGCGAACGUUGUUCGGAAUCACUGGGCUUAAAGGGCGCGUAGGCGGCCCGCCCGGUCGGGGGUGAAAGCGUCCGGCUUAACCGGACAAGUGCCUCCGAUACCGGCGGGCUCGAGCGAGGUAGGGGCGGACGGAACUUCCGGUGGAGCGGUGAAAUGUGUUGAUAUCGGAAGGAACGCCGGUGGCGAAAGCGGUCCGCUGGACCUCUCCUGACGCUGAGGCGCGAAAGCCAGGGGAGCGAACGGGAUUAGAUACCCCGGUAGUCC